UGGUGAACACCAACGUGCCAUUUUUUUAUAUUGAUUGAAGUAUAAUUUUCUAUCUCUUUGCAUGCUUAAAUUUACUUUGAUCAUGAUCAGCAAAGUAAUUUUAGGAUUUUGAGUUCGGCUUGAUAGUUUUAUUUAAUAAGGCUAUUGAUUUGCUUGUUUUAAAAUUUUUAAAAAUUACUUUCGGCUGCAUGGUCGAAACCCAACUGUGUCUUACUAACUGAC
rnacentral:lncRNA from 1 species